rnacentral:rRNA from 1 species
GGGUUGUGAGGUUAAGCGACUAAGCGUACACGGUGGAUGCCCUGGCAGUCAGAGGCGAUGAAGGACGUGCUAAUCUGCGAUAAGCGCCGGUAAGGUGAUAUGAACCGUUAUAACCGGCGAUUUCCGAAUGGGGAAACCCAGUGUGAUUCGUCACACUAUCAUUAACUGAAUCCAUAGGUUAAUGAGGCGAACCGGGGGAACUGAAACAUCUAAGUACCCCGAGGAAAAGAAAUCAACCGAGAUUCCCCCAGUAGCGGCGAGCGAACGGGGAGGAGCCCAGAGCCUGAAUCAGCAUGUGUGUUAGUGGAAGCGUCUGGAAAGGCGCGCGAUACAGGGUGACAGCCCCGUACACAAAAGCGCAUGUGCUGUGAGCUCGAUGAGUAGGGCGGGACACGUGGUAUCCUGUCUGAAUAUGGGGGGACCAUCCUCCAAGGCUAAAUACUCCUGACUGACCGAUAGUGAACCAGUACCGUGAGGGAAAGGCGAAAAGAACCCCGGCGAGGGGAGUGAAAAAGAACCUGAAACCGUGUACGUACAAGCAGUGGGAGCCCCACCACUAAGCCAGUGGUGAACUCCACAUACGCAUCCUUUGCUGAGGAUACGGUUAACGGAGCGAAAGCGACGUUCAACCGCAAAAGAAGCAGAGGGGGCUUAGUGGUGGGGUGACUGCGUACCUUUUGUAUAAUGGGUCAGCGACUUAUAUUCUGUAGCAAGGUUAACCGAAUAGGGGAGCCGCAGGGAAACCGAGUCUUAAUUGGGCGUUAAGUUGCAGGGUAUAGACCCGAAACCCGGUGAUCUAGCCAUGGGCAGGUUGAAGGUUGGGUAACACUAACUGGAGGACCGAACCGACUAAUGUUGAAAAAUUAGCGGAUGACCUGUGGCUGGGGGUGAAAGGCCAAUCAAACCGGGAGAUAGCUGGUUCUCCCCGAAAGCUAUUUAGGUAGCGCCUCGUGAAUUCAUCUCCGGGGGUAGAGCACUGUUUCGGCUAGGGGGCCAUCCCGGCUUACCAACCCGAUGCAAACUGCGAAUACCGGAGAAUGUUAUCACGGGAGACACACGGCGGGUGCUAACGUCCGUCGUGAAGAGGGAAACAACCCAGACCGCCAGCUAAGGUCCCAAAGUCAUGGUUAAGUGGGAAACGAUGUGGGAAGGCCCAGACAGCCAGGAUGUUGGCUUAGAAGCAGCCAUCAUUUAAAGAAAGCGUAAUAGCUCACUGGUCGAGUCGGCCUGCGCGGAAGAUGUAACGGGGCUAAACCAUGCACCGAAGCUGCGGCAGCGACGCUGAUGCGUUGUUGGGUAGGGGAGCGUUCUGUAAGCCUGUGAAGGUGUGUCGUGAGGC